rnacentral:rRNA from 1 species
CGUGUAGGCGGCCAGGUAGGUCUGCUGUGAAAACUCGAGGCUCAACCUCGAGAUGUCGGCAGAAACCAUCUGGCUAGAGUCCGGAAGAGGAGAGCGGAAUUCCUGGUGUAGCGGUGAAAUGCGCAGAUAUCAGGAAGAACACCCGUGGCGAAGGCGGCUCUCUGGGACGGUACUGACGCUGAGACGCGAAAGCGUGGGAGCGAACA